GGAACCAAAGAACAGGAAUCUGCUGGUAACCCCAGCACUGGCUUUUAGAGGGGUUCCUUGACCAGCCAUGGGAAUAUUGGUUCUGUUCAGCUGGUAACCCCUGUGGCAGGGACAGGGACAUCACGUUUGCACAGCUCCAUGGCACUGUCCACUGGGAUGCCUCAUGCCUUCUCUUCUAAUGCUAGGCCCACCCAGCAGCAGGAACCCCUGAAGCAGUAUCUGUUCCUCCUGGAAGGGAUAGGGCUCAUUGAAAGCCACACAUUGGCCCCAGCCUGCUCCAUCAGAUUCUUUGGAGUUAGUCUUGAGAACCUGGUCACCUCAGGAGGCAUGGAUCCAAUCAGCUAAAGUUGGGGCCUGCUUGGUAUUUUCUGACACCACUUCUGACACCAAAUGUGUGCUUUUUCCUGACACCAGCCGAUUCUCUGACACCCGCUGGGCAUCCAACAAUUCAAACAGAUUCUAACACUAACUUCCAGAGUUAGCACAGAUCUCACAGGGUAAGGCCUCAGUCCCACAAGACUGCCCCCCUUCAGAUGCUAGCUACAAGUGAGGUAGUGACCCCACUUCUGCCUGGUCAACUACAAAUUUGGGGGUUCUGGCUAG
rnacentral:lncRNA from 10 species